AAUGUAUUUGGCAGAAGGUGGGAGGGGGAUAUUCUGAUCCUUUUAUUUACAUGUUUAUGUAUGAUCUGAGUUUUUAUAUGGAGCAUAUACUACUUUUGAUUUUUUAAAGAAAAAUUAAAAUCUGUCUUUGAAAUGUACACAGUUGUUUAGAAGUUGAGGACCAUUUUUGUUUGUUACAACAUUAUUGUACCUAUAAUGGGAAUAUUUCAAAGCCACUUGUUAACACUUUGUUAGAACAAAAUGUAGAGGGUGCUGGGUGCCCCUGAAUAUUCUCCCACCUCUUGUGACCUGUAUUGUUUUGGAAUUUCCAGUGGCCUGACAAUGAACUACUGCAGGAAUCCAGAUGCCGAUAAAGGCCCCUGGUGUUUUACCACAGACCCCAGCGUCAGGUGGGAGUACUGCAACCUGAAAAAAUGCUCAGGAACAGAAGCGAGUGUUGUAGCACCUCCGCCUGUUGUCCUGCUUCCAGAUGUAGAGACUCCUUCCGAAGAAGACUGUAUGUUUGGGAAUGGGAAAGGAUACCGAGGCAAGAGGGCGACCACUGUUACUGGGACGCCAUGCCAGGACUGGGCUGCCCAGGAG
rnacentral:lncRNA from 1 species